rnacentral:rRNA from 1 species
UGAGGAAUAUUGGUCAAUGGACGCAAUUCUGAACCAGCCAAGUAGCGUGCAGGAUGACGGCCCUAUGGGUUGUAAACUGCUUUUAUAUGGGGAUAAAGUGGGGAACGUGUUCCCUUUUGCAGGUACCAUAUGAAUAAGGACCGGCUAAUUCCGUGCCAGCAGCCGCGGUAAUACGGAAGGUUCGGGCGUUAUCCGGAUUUAUUGGGUUUAAAGGGAGCGUAGGCCGUUUGGUAAGCGUGUUGUGAAAUGUAAGGGCUCAACUUUUAGAUUGCAGCGCGAACUGGCAGACUUGAGUGCGCACAACGUAGGCGGAAUUCAUGGUGUAGCGGUGAAAUGCUUAGAUAUCAUGACGAACUCCGAUUGCGAAGGCAGCUUACGGGAGCGCAACUGACGCUAAAGCUCGAAGGUGCGGGUAUCGAACAGG